rnacentral:rRNA from 1 species
UACAGAGGUGGCAAGCGUUGUUCGGAAUUACUGGGCGUAAAGGGCGCGUAGGCGGUCUUUUAAGUUCCGUGUGAAAUCCCUCGGCUCAACUGGGGAACUGCACGGGAAACUGGAAGGCUUGAGUUCGGUAGGGGAGACUGGAAUUCCUGGUGUAGCGGUGAAAUGCGCAGAGUAUCAGGAGGAACAGCCGGUGGCGAAGGCGGGUCUCUGGGCCGAUACUGACGCUGAGGAGCGAAAGCGUGGGGAGCGAACAGG